rnacentral:lncRNA from 1 species
AUGCUGCUAAAAAGGCUCAAACAAGGAGACCCAAUGAUCUUGGGUCUUGCCUAUGUACCAACAGCCCUAACCAUCUAUUACAGAUUUACAUUGCCAUGCAAUAUUGGAGCAACAAUAUACCAAGUCUUGCGGACUGAAACUCAAAAUAAGUAACCAGGCAAAAGGAAGGAGACAGGAGGAAGAGCAAAAGGGCACUUAAACAGCGGGCAAGCAGUUUUAAUCAGCCUUCCUGGAAGUUCCACAUAAUAUUUCUGCUUACAAAUCCUUGGCCAGAACUUAGUCUCAAGGUGACACCAAGCUGCAAAGGAGGUUGGGAAAUACAAGCUAGGAUAUGUUCCCAGAUAAAAAUUGGGGAUCUGAUCUAAAGCAAAUGGAAGAAAGUUGAUUUGGGGUAAAAAAUCACGAGUCGGUUACAGUUUGCUCUUUGCCUGCCCUAAAUCAUAUACCUCCUCUUUUCUACAACAGACCACACUUUACUUCUUAUAACCUCAAAUUCUCUUUUUAAGUUAUUCCUAGACCUUGUUCUAGACUCGUGAAACCUUCCAGAUUGGGAUCAUAUGUGUCUUCCAAUGGUCUUGUAAUCUAAAAGAUGAAAGAAAACACCUGUUGUUCAAAAUCACUCAUUUCACAUUGACGGCCAAGGAACAAUCAAUCGCUCAUUAAAACUCCCUUCUAUAUGAGGGGUUAAUAGGAAAUAUUUAGUUUUCCUGUUUCCCGACCAAGAAUAAAUGUAAGUUAUUUGCUUAUCCCCUAGCUUUGCACUCUAGAAUACUAUUCCUUUGCAUGUUAUCCUCUAUUGCCUUAUCAGGACUGGAGUGUGGAUUAUAACUUUAGUAGAUGCACGGCACUAAGACAAGCAUCAGUGGCAAUGGAUUGGAGUUUCAUUGACAAUAAAG